UUUAAAAAUGCAUCAAGUUCACUACUCUUAGUUCCUAGUUCCAAAAUUCACUUUCAUUCAUAAAAGAAUUAACUUUCACAGUUUCACCUUCACGUCUCAGCUCGGCGCCGUCGUCCGUCGUCAUUCUUCUCUUCUCUUUCGUUACUGCUGUUGAGGGAUUACAGUUUGUGUCUACUUGCAAUAUGAAAAAUAGUAAAAUAGUAAGUAGCUCUCAGCUCAAAUCUAACUAAUGUAAUUGCUAUUGAUGACACUAAUCAAAAAGUGGAAUGUUGUUUAGGUGAUUAUUUUGAUAUAUAUAUAUAUAUAAUGUGUUAGUUGGAAAUUUUUAACUUAGUUUGUGUGUUACUUUGUUGUUGUGAUUAAUAUAUUUAUAGUAUACCAUAAAAAUUAAAAGAUGGGCAGGAAAGAAAUUUUCAAAAUUAAAAUAAAAUAAUACUAUACAAAAUGUGGGCUACCCGCCAAGUCCACCGCCGUUUAGGGUCGGGCUUCGGUAGUAUUUUUUCAGCCCGUAUUUAAACUGGAUUUCUGGCCCGACCUAAAAAAGCGUGCAACCUGUUAUGACCUGUCAUAAAUGGGUUGGGUAACCUGUUUUGACAGCUCUAAUAUAAAGUCACUAUGUAAUCUCAUUAAUCAACAUAUAUACAAUAAAAGUGUUUUCAAUAGUUAUUUAAUAUAUUCUCAUUAAUCAACAUAAAGUAAAGUUUAGUUUUUACUUAUUAUUAUUAUUAGCACAAAUGUUUGGUCAAGUAAUAAUUGGUCCUCCUGGUUCUGGAAAAACAACUUACUACAAUGGCAUGUCUCAGUUCCUUAAUCUAUUUGGAAGGUAAAUUUAACUCUUUAGAACAUGUUAUCAUAUUAUUACUUAAUUGUAGGGUUUUCUAAUUUCUACUAAUUUGGGAAUUUAUUCCAUUUACCUCACUACUUUUAUUUACUUUUCAAAUGUAGGAAGGUUGCUGUUAUCAAUUUGGAUCCAGCUUAUGAUUCAUUACCAUAUCCUUUAUGUUUACCUUUUUCAAACAUUGCUGUUAUUCUUAAUUAAAGGCCUGUUUUUUAGUUGUGUAGUUAAAUUAAUUGAUAUGGUUUACCUUAGUAUUAAAUUUAGUUAUGAAUGUGCUGUGAACAUUGAGGAUCUUGUGAAACUUAGUGAUGUCAUGGUAGAACAUUCUCUUGGUCCUAAUGGUGGUAAAUCGAUUGCUUCUUUUUUGUUGUUUGAAGUAUUUAUUCAUUGUAAAAUUUCUGCUUGUUUUAAUGUCACACCAAUAGUAGUACCGAAUGACGGCCAAUUUAAAGUGUAGGCAUGGCUGAUGGAUUAUGAAGCAUCGACACUUCAGAUUAAAAGACUGUCCUGACGCAACACUGGUAUAUGUAGUGACAUUCAAUCACUGUCAUUUUCUUAUAUUAUUGCGCUUGUGACAUUGUCUACGUGUCAGUGCUAUUGCCGUGUCUGGUUUCUGUGUUGGUGCUUCAUAGUUUGUGUUGUAUAAGUUUUGCUAUUGAGAGAGUCUAUGAGAAAUUUUUACAAGUUACUCAUUAUGUUUCCUCAGAGAGACAACACUACCUUUUAGUAGGUAUUUGUGUCUUACUAAAUGCAUAUCGUGAAGUUUCACUUGUGUUGUACAAGCAGGUCUUAUAUACUGUAUGGAUUAUCUAGAGAAAAUAUUUACUGGUUGCAAGCAAAAUUGGAACCUCUUCUGAAAGGUUACUGCAUUAUUAUACUUUAUUUUGGGAAUUUCCCAUAAAACAUUGGAGGGUGAAUGAACAACCACCUAUCACCUAAUAUUAACAUUUCAGAUAACUAUUUAAAAACUACAGUAAUUUUUAUUCAGAUAGUGUACUCUUGUGGUCUGACAAUAUUAUUAAUGUUUCAUAUCAUUAUUUACUCUCUGAUUUCCUGGCCAAGUGGAACUUCUUUUUCUUCAUUCAAAUGCCAAAAAUGUCAUCAUGAAAUUCACAAAGAAAUUAAUCUUAAGGUGCAUUUGGUUGAUGCUCAUCUUUGUAGUGACCAUGGGAAGUACAUCAGUGCAUUGCUUCUAUCCUUAUAAACAUUGCUACAUCCAGAACUUCCCACAUCAAUGAGAGAUACUAAUCCAAAAUAUGGAAUAUAUAUUAGAUGUCAAUACUCCUUGCUUUGGUUAAAAAUGUAUUCUCUGAGAAUACUCCUUGCUUAUAAUGAAGUUGAAAAAUAUGCUGGUUAAUUUGCCCCUUCUGCAAUGAUUAUAGUUGCUAUCCAAGUUGUCCCAAUGUGAAAUUAUGUCUUUGUUGAUGGACACAAUUCCUUGCUUGUUUAGUGUCUAAUAGUAACCUUAAAAUUGAAGUGAAGAGUUGGAAAUGGCGGUUAAGGUUGGAUUAAAUGGGUCAAGAAGAUGUAAGCUAUUAUUUUGUCAUGUUAUAUAGUUGGAGAAGGUGUCGGAGUCUGAAUCGGAGGGGUUGUUUGGCUGAGUUGUACGUGGAGGAGUGUUUUUGGAGCGGCGGGUGAACAACAUAAAUGCAGUGGUUUAAAAACAUGAAAUAAUCCAAAUAAAAAUAUUUUAUAUAUAGAAUUCUUCAUCAUGAAUUCAAAAAAGUACAUUUAAUGAAUGAUUUCAAAAUCAACAAAAAGUUUUGUAUUUUCAUAUUGGUGUAACAGUCCAUUAUUACGUCAUGAAAGUGUUACCUAACAAAGUCUUCAAAGUGUAUGCAA